GACCUCGGAUCAGGUAGGGAUACCCGCUGAACUUAAGCAUAUCAAUAAGCGGAGGAAAAGAAACCAACAGGGAUUGCCUCAGUAACGGCGAGUGAAGCGGCAACAGCUCAAAUUUGAAAUCUGGCUCUUCAAGGGUCCGAGUUGUAAUUUGUAGAAGAUGCUUUGGGUGUAGCUCCGGUCUAAGUUCCUUGGAACAGGACGUCAUAGAGGGUGAGAAUCCCGUAUGUGACUGGGUGCUUUCGCUCGUGUAAAGCUCUUUCGACGAGUCGAGUUGUUUGGGAAUGCAGCUCAAAAUGGGUGGUAAAUUUCAUCUAAAGCUAAAUAUUGGCCAGAGACCGAUAGCGCACAAGUAGAGUGAUCGAAAGAUGAAAAGCACUUUGGAAAGAGAGUUAAACAGUACGUGAAAUUGUUGAAAGGGAAGCGC
rnacentral:rRNA from 1 species